CAUCCCCAAAACCCAUUUCUGACUUCUCCUUUUCAUUUGUAGAGAGAGAAAAAGUUAACCUGAUUUCCCUCAGACGUUUCACUACUCUGUGAAACCCUACCCUUCAGAUCUUGAAUCCCCCUAAUCUCCUUUUCUUCAAUCAUCGCCACCCAAAAGUUGCUACUAAAGAUCGUAUGUAUGGUUAUGUGUAUUCACCAACACACCAACCUCUGCUCAGUGUAGGAUUAUCAUGUUCAAAGGCAAGAAUUAUUGUCGCGAUGUUUGUGGAACCAACAUUUAACAAGUUGUGCGGCUUUAAUUGGGACCGGAUUCGAACUUGAGACCUCUGACUUGAAACCCAAAUCUUCAUUUCCUGUGGAACGCCAAUUAAGCUAUAGCUCAUUGGCUGAUAAUUAACUUUCUCAUGAUGGAAAAUUAGAGUCCUCUAUCAAUGGAAAGUAAGUAUUUGAACAUGUUUAUCUAUACUAUAUAUAAUAAGCAUAUAGGAAGUACUACUUAAUGUAAUUGAAAUUUCCUUAAAACACUCUUAAUGCACAAUGUACAACCCUCUAAAGCACAAUAUAAUUUACAAUCACAAUUAUACCCUCACUCACACAAUAUGUUUGGGCGGCCAAUUUUUCAAUUCAAUUUUUGAAUUCCCGCUUACCCCAAAUCCCCAUACACGAUACACCCACAACUGUUGUUUCCUUAUCAUUUGCAGAGAGAGAGAGAGAGAGAGAGAGAGAGAGGGAGAAGUGAGAAGUGAGAGCUCAUCCCUAAUCCCUGAUGUAGUUUCUCCGUCGCCCCUUCUCCACUGAUGACACAACCAGCGACCGUCUAAACCAUCUCCUCCUCUUAAAGAGCUCAUCAUCUUGGUUUGUUGUUUAGGGACAAAAUCAUGGCUGGUUAUCCUUAACCUACCCCCUGUGGAUGCAAAAAGUCAAAACCGUGUUGAGCGGAAAAAGCCCUAACUGCCUUUUACCGCCCGAAAGUUAGCGGUAAUCAAACAUCCAUGAAUCUUCUUUACGCCGCCACCGGAGAACUUUCUCGAAGAAAAAUGGUUGAAGAAGCUUGUGACGGUGACGAUGGUUUACAGGGCACCGUGAAUCUACCAAACAAAAGUUAUUUAUGGUUCAUCGGCUAACGACCGAGACACCGAUGACGGCUGAGGAUGGUGAUUGUUAAGGCAUCUCUGUUAAGGCUUUGUGUUGAUUCGAGCAGCUUCACAGAUAUUUCAUUGAUUGAGAUGCGGGAACAUAUAAAGAAACGUCCACCAUUAGCAUUAGCAACGACUGAAAAUUUUCCACAAUGGUAAUUUGAUCGAAUUUAAAGAAGCAAAGGAAGUUGGUUCGUCAAAUUAGAUUGGUAAGCCAAUUUUUAUUGAAUUCUGAGUUUAUUGAACCAAGCCGAUUUAACUGUUUACCAGACAGAAAAACAAUAGAAAGAUAAGGUUCCCUGUUAAAGAGAAAGUCAAAGAGAAACUUGGAUUGCACAAGGACGCCAUAAUUGGUGGGUCAACAUCGGCUAUUAAAGACGCCAUGGCUGCUCUUAACCAAGGAUUUAUGAAGCUUGGACAGGUGCUAUAGGCGUAGAUCCUACUCAUGAUGAUGCACCGGGGACUCAGUUUCAAAUUAUAGUCCCUAGACAAGCAAGGCACAUGUGUAUUCUAGGCAGUUUCAGACCUAUUUUAGUUGUUACAAACCGUUCUAGCAGAUUUUUAAACUGGUUACCCAGUUUUUUUCCGAUUGAGUGCGCUGAUUGAGUGCGCUGUGCUGCAUUCAAGGCGGUUUGGCUAGGCCUCGCCUCAAAGUUGUAACUGUUUAGAUUAUGUUUUACUUAGGCGUUUAAAAGCAUGGUCUGUAUAUGAAGAGCAUGAAUAUGUUUUUUGGGGGAAUGAUGUAUAAAAUUUACAA